UGGGGAAUAUUGGGCAAUGGGCGCAAGCCUGACCCAGCAACGCCGCGUGAGCGAUGAAGGUCUUCGGAUUGUAAAGCUCUGUCGCAGGGGACGAAGUAUGACGGUACCCUGUAAGAAAGCCCCGGCAAACUACGUGCCAGCAGCCGCGGUAAUACGUAGGGGGCUAGCGUUGUCCGGAAUUACUGGGCGUAAAGGGAGUGUAGACGGCUUGUCAAGUUAAGUGUGAAAGCCCGCGGCUCAACCGCGGAACUGCACUUAAAACUGACUCGCUAGAGUGCAGGAGAGGUGAGCGGAAUUCCUAGUGUAGCGGUGGAAUGCGUAGAUAUUAGGAGGAACACCAGAGGCGAAGGCGGCUCACUGGACUGUAACUGACGUUGAGGCUCGAAAGCGUGGGGAGCAAACAGG
rnacentral:rRNA from 1 species